UGGGCAACCUGCCCUAUAGAGGGGAAUAGCCUUCCGAAAGGAAGAUUAAUACCCCAUAAGAUUGUAGCUUCACAUGGAGCAGCAAUUAAAGGAGCAAUCCGCUAUAGGAUGGGCCCGCGGCGCAUUAGCUAGUUGGUGAGGUAACGGCUCACCAAGGCGACGAUGCGUAGCCGACCUGAGAGGGUGAUCGGCCACAUUGGGACUGAGACACGGCCCAGACCUCUACGGGAGG
rnacentral:rRNA from 1 species